rfam:Bacterium 42_11 MPF_scaffold_2180, whole genome shotgun sequence.
UCGUGCUAGAUGGGGAGGUAGCGGUGCCCUGAACCCGCAAUCCGCUAAAGCGGGGUUGAAUUCCCGCCAAGAGGCCACCUUCCUUAAGAGCAGCUUCAAGCUGGAGGCGUUGAGGGUUGGGUCCCGUGCGGCAGAGAUCCGUGAACCCCGCCAGGCCCGGAAGGGAGCAACGGUAAGCGGUAGUCUCUGGGUGCCACGGGGGUGCUUGGCCGGAGCUGAAGGCUUGAAGGACGUCUUGGGGAAGUUGAUCGAAGGUGGGUGCACGG